rnacentral:rRNA from 1 species
GGACUACAGGGGUAUCUAAUCCCGUUUGCUACCCUAGCUUUCGCGCCUCAGCGUCAAGAGCAGGCCAGAAAGCCGCCUUCGCCACUGGUGUUCCUCCCGAUAUCUACGCAUUUCACCACUACACCGGGAAUUCCGCUUCCCUCUCCUGCCUUCGAGUCGAUCAGUAUCGAAUGACCCUCCCCAGUUGAGCCGGGGGCUUUCACAUUCGACUUGAACGACCGCCUGCGCGCUCUUUACGCCCAGUAAAUCCGGACAACGCUAGCCACCUACGUAUUACCGCGGCUGCUGGCAC